rnacentral:tRNA from 1 species
GUGGGAUUAGCUCAGCUGGUAGAGCACGGGAUUGUGGUUCCCGGGGUCGUGGGUUCAAACCCCACAUCCCACCCCA